CCGACGUUUGCCAUAACCUGAAAUUGCUCAGGAAUCUUCUUGGAGACAAACAAGAGUUAACAUUCAAUGGUACAGAAAAGGUCAAGUGGAAGCAUAUCAAGAACUCCUAUGAAAUCCAGCAGCGUGAAGGAAUGAGGGCUGCAAAUAGGCUAACAGGAGACCACAUUGACUACUCAAAAGCAAAAAUGAAGGUUAAAUAUGCAGCCCAGGUUUUUAGUAGCUCAGUAGCUGCUACAGUUGACAUCUUAAGGCAACUGCACUUUGAAGGAUUUGAAGAUUCGGAAAGCAGUGCCUAUUUCCUACGACAGAU
rnacentral:lncRNA from 1 species